CAUAAUCAUUAGUUUUUUAAUUGAAAACUUGUAUGAAAGGUUAAACAAAAAAAUUUCUGUCUUUUAUUUAAAAAUUGAAAUUAACUUUUAAGUGAAAAGGCUUAAAUUUUUUAAGGGGACGAUAAGACCCUAUAAAGUUUAAUAAAAAGGUAAGUUUUUUUAAAAAAGAGUAUAAAAUGAAAAAUUAUAUUUUUAUUUUGCUGGGGCGGUACAGAUAUAAAUAAAUUGAUAACUGUCAGAAUUGUAAACAUGUAUAGGUGAUUAAUAAGAUCCUAAAUAAAGAUUAUAAGACUAAGUUACUUUAGGGAUAACAGCUUAAUUUUUUUUAAGAGUUCAUAUCGAAAGAAAAGUUUGAGACCUCGAUGUUGAAUUAAAAUAACUUUACGGUGCAGCUGCUGUAUAAA
rnacentral:rRNA from 1 species